UACGUAGGGGGCAAGCGUUGUCCGGAGUUACUGGGCGUAAAGCGCACGCAGGCGGUCGCGUAAGAGUGCGGGGACAGUGGGCGGCUUAACUGCCCAAGGGUCGCACAGACUGCGUGACUGGAGGGCCAGAGAGGGACCUGGAAUUCCGGGUGGAGCGGUGAAAUGCGUAGAGAUCCGGAGGAACACCAAUGGCGAGGGCAGGGUCCUGGCUGGCACCUGACGCUCAUGUGCGAAAGCCAGGGGAGCGAACGGG
rnacentral:rRNA from 1 species